rnacentral:rRNA from 1 species
CUGUCUCAGAUUAGCCAUGCAUGUCUCAGUAUAAGCUUCUAUACGGCGAAACUGCGAAUGGCUCAUUAAAACAGUUAUAGUUUAUUUGGUGGUCAGCAAUUACAUGGAUAACCGUGGUAAUUCUAGAGCUAAUACAUGCGCCCAAACCCGACUUCGUGGAAGGGUUGUGUUUAUUAGAUACAGAACCAACCCAGGCUCCGCCUGGCCUUGAGGUGAUUCAUAAUAACCGAACGAACCGCAUGGCUAUGCCGGCGAUAGACCAUUCAAGUUUCUGACCUAUCAGCUAUCGUCGGUAGGGUAUUGGCCUACCGUGGCAAUGACGGGUAACGGAGAAUUAGGGUUCGAUUCCGGAGAGGGAGCCUGAGAAACGGCUACCACAUCUAAGGAAGGCAGCAGGCGCGCAAAUUACCCAAUCCUGACGCAGGGAGGUAGUGACAAGAAAUAACAAUACAGGGCAUACAUGUCUUGUAAUUGGAAUGAGUAAACUUUAAAUCACUUUA